AUAUUACCGAAGCUGUGGAUUGUCCUUUGGACAAUGGUAGGAGAGCGUUCUAAGGGCGUUGAAGCAUGAUCGUAAGGACAUGUGGAGCGCUUAGAAGUGAGAAUGCCGGUGUGAGUAGCGAAAGACGGGUGAGAAUCCCGUCCACCGAUUGACUAAGGUUUCCAGAGGAAGGCUCGUCCGCUCUGGGUUAGUCGGGUCCUAAGCUGAGGCCGACAGGCGUAGGCGAUGGAUAACAGGUUGAUAUUCCUGUACCACCUAUAAUCGUUUUAAUCGAUGGGGGGACGCAGUAGGAUAGGCGAAGCGUGCGAUUGGAUUGCACGUCUAAGCAGUAAGGCUGAGUAUUAGGCAAAUCCGGUACUCAUUAAGGCUGAGCUGUGAUGGGGAGAAGACAUUGUGUCUUCGAGUCGUUGAUUUCACACUGCCGAGAAAAGCCUCUAGAUAGAAAAUAGGUGCCCGUACCGCAAACCGACACAGGUAGUCAAGAUGAGAAUUCUAAGGUGAGCGAGCGAACUCUCGUUAAGGAACUCGGCAAAAUGACCCCGUAACUUCGGGAGAAGGGGUGCUCUUUAGGGUUAACGCCCAGAAGAGCCGCAGUGAAUAGGCCCAAGCGACUGUUUAUCAAAAACACAGGUCUCUGCUAAACCGUAAGGUGAUGUAUAGGGGCUGACGCCUGCCCGGUGCUGGAAGGUUAAGAGGAGUGGUUAGCUUCUGCGAAGCUACGAAUCGAAGCCCCAGUAAACGGCGGCCGUAACUAUAACGGUCCUAAGGUAGCGAAAUUCCUUGUCGGGUAAGUUCCGACCCGCACGAAAGGCGUAACGAUUUGGGCACUGUCUCAACGAGAGACUCGGUGAAAUCAUAGUACCUGUGAAGAUGCAGGUUACCCGCGACAGGACGGAAAGACCCCGUGGAGCUUUACUGUAGCCUGAUAUUGAAAUUCGGCACAGCUUGUACAGGAUAGGUAGGAGCCUUUGAAACGUGAGCGCUAGCUUACGUGGAGGCGCUGGUGGGAUACUACCCUAGCUGUGUUGGCUUUCUAACCCGCACCACUUAUCGUGGUGGGAGACAGUGUCAGGCGGGCAGUUUGACUGGGGCGGUCGCCUCCUAAAAGGUAACGGAGGCGCUCAAAGGUUCCCUCAGAAUGGUUGGAAAUCAUUCAUAGAGUGUAAAGGCAUAAGGGAGCUUGACUGCGAGACCUACAAGUCGAGCAGGGUCGAAAGACGGACUUAGUGAUCCGGUGGUUCCGCAUGGAAGGGCCAUCGCUCAACGGAUAAAAGCUACCCCGGGGAUAACAGGCUUAUCUCCCCCAAGAGUUCACAUCGACGGGGAGGUUUGGCACCUCGAUGUCGGCUCAUCGCAUCCUGGGGCUGUAGUCGGUCCCAAGGGUUGGGCUGUUCGCCCAUUAAAGCGGUACGCGAGCUGGGUUCAGAACGUCGUGAGACAGUUCGGUCCCUAUCCGUCGUGGGCGUAGGAAAUUUGAGAGGAGCUGUCCUUAGUACGAGAGGACCGGGAUGGACAUACCUCUGGUGUACCAGUUGUCGUGCCAACGGCAUAGCUGGGUAGCUAUGUGUGGACGGGAUAAGUGCUGAAAGCAUCUAAGCAUGAAGCCCCCCUCAAGAUGAGAUUUCCCAACUUCGGUUAUAAGAUCCCUCAAAGAUGAUGAGGUUAAUAGGUUCGAGGUGGAAGCAUGGUGACAUGUGGAGCUGACGAAUACUAA
rnacentral:rRNA from 1 species